AUUCCAGCUCCAAUAGCGUAUAUUAAAGUUGUUGCAGUUAAAACGCUCGUAGUCGGAUUUCGGGGCCUGCCUGCCGGUCUGCCGAUGGGUAUGCACUGGCAGGCGCGUCCUUCCUUCCGGAGACUGUCCCUACUCUUAACUGAGCGGGGUCGGGAGACGGAUCGUUUACUUUGAAAAAAUCAGAGUGUUUCAAGCAGGCAGCUCGCUCUUGCAUGGAUUAGCAUGGGAUAAUGAAGUAGGACUUUGGUGCUAUUUUGUUGGUUUGUGCACCAUGGUAAUGAUUAAUAGGGACAGUUGGGGGUAUUCGUAUUCCAUUGUCAGAGGUGAAAUUCUUGGAUUUAUGGAAGACGAACUACUGCGAAAGCAUUUACCAAGGAUGUUUUCAUCA
rnacentral:rRNA from 1 species